rnacentral:rRNA from 1 species
ACGGGAGGCAGCAGUGUGGAAUAUUGGUCAAUGGAGGCAACUCUGAACCAGCCAUCUCGCGUGAAGGAAUACGGCCCUACGGGUCUUAAACUUCUUUUAUAGGGGGAUAAAGUGAGGCAUGCAUGCCUUUUUGUAGGUACCCUAUGAAUAAGCAUCGGCUAACUCCGUGCCAGCAGCCGCGGUAAUACGGAGGAUGCGAGCGUUAUCCGGAUUUAUUGGGUUUAAAGGGUGCGCAGGCGGCACGUUAAGUCAGCGGUGAAAUGUCGGGGCUCAACCCCGGCACUGCCGUUGAAACUGGCGAGCUUGAGUACGGAUGAAGUCGGCGGAAUGUGAUGUGUAGCGGUGAAAUGCUUAGAUAUGACGAAGAACUCCGAUUGGGAAGCCAGCUUACUGUAGCGCCACUGACGCUGAUGCUCGAAAGCGUGGGUAUCGAACAGGAUUAGAUACCCUGGUA